rnacentral:rRNA from 1 species
CUGAAACCGUGUACGUACAAGCAGUGGGAGCACGCUUAGGCGUGUGACUGCGUACCUUUUGUAUAAUGGGUCAGCGACUUAUAUUCUGUAGCAAGGUUAACCGAAUAGGGGAGCCGAAGGGAAACCGAGUCUUAACUGGGCGUUAAGUUGCAGGGUAUAGACCCGAAACCCGGUGAUCUAGCCAUGGGCAGGUUGAAGGUUGGGUAACACUAACUGGAGGACCGAACCGACUAAUGUUGAAAAAUUAGCGGAUGACUUGUGGCUGGGGGUGAAAGGCCAAUCAAACCGGGAGAUAGCUGGUUCUCCCCGAAAGCUAUUUAGGUAGCGCCUCGUGAAUUCAUCUCCGGGGGUAGAGCACUGUUUCGGCAAGGGGGUCAUCCCGAC